rnacentral:rRNA from 1 species
UUGGUACUACAUGUACAGGAUAGGUGGGAGGCUUUGAAACCAGGACGCCAGUUUUGGCGGAGCCAUCCUUGGGAUACCACCCUUGUAGUACUGGGACUCUAACCAUAGGCCAUGAAUCUGGUCUUGGGACACUGUCAGGUGGGCAGUUUGACUGGGGCGGUCGCCUCCCAAAAGGUAACGGAGGCGCUCAAAGGUUCUCUCAGUACGGUCGGAAAUCGUACGUAGAGUGUAAAGGCAAAAGAGAGCUUGAUUGCAAGACAUACAGGUCGAGCAAGGAUGAAAAUCGGACUUAGUGAUCCGGUGGUUCUGCGUGGAAGGGCCAUCGCUCAACGGAUAAAAGCUACCCUGGGGAUAACAGGCUUAUCUCCCCCAAGAGUCCACAUCGACGGGGAGGUUUGGCACCUCGAUGUCGGCUCAUCACAUCCUGGGGCUGUAGUAGGUCCCAAGGGUUGGGCUGUUCGCCCAUUAAAGUGGUACGCGAGCUGGGUUCAGAACGUCGUGAGACAGUUCGGUCCCUAUCCGUCGCAGGCGUAGGAAAUUUGAGAAGACCUGUCCUUAGUACGAGAGGACCGGGAUGGACGUACCUCUGGUGUACCAGUUGUUCUGCCAAGGGCAUGGCUGGGUAGCUAUGUACGGAAUGGAUAAGCGCUGAAAGCAUCUAAGCGCGAAGCCAACU